AUCAGCUGAGCAUCUUGUUAAAAUGCAGAUUCUAAUUCAGUAAAUUGAGGGUCAGACCUGAGAUUCUGUAUUUCUAACAAGCUCCCAGGUGAUAUUGA
rnacentral:pre_miRNA from 1 species